AACAAAUGACUGUUUCUCCAGAACAACAGUCGAAACGUCUUUGCUGGGGGGCAAUUUGUAUACGUGCGUUUUCGACGCCAUGAGAUUUGGUGUACAAAAUGACUGUUUCGACAAAUGAUGACAUGGGAUAAAACGAUUCGGUUGAUAAGUGUGGCUCGACACUUCGACAAAAAUGGAAGCUUUGAUAUUUCGACAUGAUAUGUGCAGCUAGAAAAGUACUUUGACAAGACAUGGAAGACAUUGCAGUAUCUUGAUAAUUCGACAAAAAAAUCCUAAAGGAAGACGUCGUUUCGACUUAAAGUGUAAAUUUGAAUUUAAAAAGUUGUAACGUUUGACAGAAGACGCGUGGAAGCAUCUGGCGAAAAGAUGAAAGCCGUUCGUCACAGUUUUAGGAUUUAACCGUUAGUGACAGUUAUGUUAUUUGUAUAUAAAUAGGGUAGUUGUUAUCAGAAAANNN
rnacentral:lncRNA from 1 species